rnacentral:lncRNA from 1 species
UUCAUGACACCGGAUCGGUUUGGCCACCGAUCGGAGGUAUACUUAUCCGGAUAGGUCGUCCUGCGGGGCGGAUGGAUCAGGUCGGUGCAGUUAGUGACAGGCAGCGCUUGAGGUCUGCGGACCGAUACAGCAGGCACAGAUUGGGUACAGUUUCUGGUUCAGUACAUUGAGGCAUUCUUUGCAUUGUUUUCUAUACAGUAGCAGGUUUAUUUAUUUCUUCCUAUUUAUCUGUUGUAGCUACUGUAGUUCUAUUUCAUAUCAGCUUACAGUUAUAUACUUGUUUAUCUAUCUCCUUUGGUUUCCGGUGAUUACGACUUGCCUUCGUGGCUCUGUCGUACCCACUGAGAAAACCAUGGUUGCGGUUUCUCACCCCCCAUUUUCCCCCCCAGGUAACAGAGACGAGGAGUUGGAUUUUGGGCUCGACGAGAGGACGAUCUAGUUAGACGGCAGUAGCGACCGUCACCCUGGUUAUCUCUUUUCCGCACUUAGUAGUUUUAUUAAUAAUGGUUCAGUUAGUUGAUCUUCUGUAUGCUUGAAUGUAUGUGAUCUGUGGUUUUGGUUCUGUGAAGAUUUGGUUUUCUUGUAGUUAUGCAUCGUGGUUUUCUACCCCUCGAGGUAAUCGGUUUUCAAAAUAGAGUUUCCGUGUGGGAAACAGUUUUAAAAAGGUUUUCGAAUGGUUUUUAUGAAUGAUUGAAUUAGAGUUUAAAAACAAAAGCUUCCGUGUGGGGAGCACUUUUAAAUAGGAUGUUUGUUGUAUUGUGCAUUGCAUCAUCCGCGUGACAGACGUAUAUAAGUGCAAAGCUUUCGGCUCGACAGCAGAAGGAGCUGAAAGAACUUUUGAAGGAGUACAAAGACUGCUUUGCCUGGAGUUAUGAAGAAAUACCAGGUUUAAGCCAAGAAAUUGUAGAGCAUAGGCU